AGUGAUUACAGUUUUUUUGUACAGAUUUGAUAUUACUUUAAUGGUCACAAAAGAGGAAGAACUGGAGACCUGUGCAGCUCAGACAGGGUUAAUGGAUCCGGCCCAGCCCACUAAUUAGUCCUGGCCUUGGAGUGAAGGUGACAUCCUCCACAUUCUCUAAAACCAUGUGGCCACUUCAGGCUGUUCUAGGAACAUAGCCUGAGCUUCUCAGUAUUAUUCUGUUCACUCUUCAGUUUUGCUGCUGUUAUUGUUGCAGAAUGGAAAAGUGAGAGGGCUGGGGAAGGAAGAAGGAUUCUCCAUCACAGACCAGGCCCCAGAGAGAGAUCAUGCUGCAAAAAGCUGUCAGUGCUCUGAGAAUGGAGCUUCAUCCACUGGAAACAAGGGGGUGUAAAGAACGUCAUUCGUUGUCAUUGCAGCUUACAGGGAACCCUGGAAGAGUAACUCUUUCCUCUGUGAAACGAGCCUGUAUUCUUUGGAGAAGAAUGGGGAAGGAAAGUCUCAAAUAAAUGGAUGUAAUUGCCUUCAUUAAAAGCUGACUGAACAGACUUUAUCCUGUGGGGUCUACUCUCUCUCUCUGAGUCUGGCCCUCUGAACUGAGAUGCAAGGAGAGAUAUCAACAUCAUGUCUUCAGAGGAUGAAUAACUUCCCAAGAAGCUUACACUACAUUAAGACCCAUCUUCACAAUGAACAUUCCUAGGAGAAGAGGUACAGUAAUUGCUACAAGGCUGUUCUGUGGUGGUAGUGAAAGAUUAAUUGACUUGCUGGGAAAAGACAGAAGAUGAGACACCAGAAAGUGUCUUCAAAUAUUAUUCGCUAGAGGAAGUAUGGGAAGUUUGGGAAUCUCCCUUCAUAGGCUUAGUACUAUCAUUUAAGCAUUAGGAAAAUCCCACCAAUACAGCCAGGUUCUCUAUUAAUAGCUUUGUUCUUAUCGUACAGAAAUGUCAAUGUAAUCAGAAUUCAAGCCACUACUUCCAUUAGAAGCAGAGCUUCCUUCUUUUGCUUACUGCUGGCACAGGUGAUGACAAGCCACAUUGCUUCUGGGAAAAGGAAGCUCUAAGGGCAUCCAAAUCUGAUACAAACAGAAUCCUAGUGGUUGCAAGGUGUGAAGCAGAAUACAGGAAAUAGGGCCCAUUUCUUCUGCUUACUCAAGUGUUAACUCUCGUCAACAAGAAAUUAAAAGAAUAGGAUCAAUUUGAACAAUGGAAUACAAGUUGAAAUGGGUCUGACCCACUUUCUUUCUUUUCUUACAUGGCACCUCCUAAAUCAUGCCAGUGAAGAUGGAUUAUACUUUCAGUCAUGAGAUAAACCUGUAAACUAGUUCUUGUCUGCAGCACUUGUGUAUUAUAGAUCUUGUGUCUCCUGAAAGAUGAAUAAUUACAGUCCCUGGGGAGAUACUUUUAGAAAAUGCAGUCAUCAUGGAUUCUGCAGCUGUAUGGACAAUGAUGAUAAAAAGAAGAGCCUUCUUCUUGUCCCCAAUGGGCAUGAAAGUGAAAUAGAAAGAACAAACAGCUCUCAUUAGAUUAAUGAGUGAGGCUUCCAAUUUAUGGACAAGCUUCUGUUUCCCUCGCACUGAUGAAAUAAAUACUAUUUGAUGAGGACCUCUAAACACCAUCAGAUCAAACCAUGCCAUAAACCAAUUGCAUUUGCCUUGAUUUAAAGCAGGCUUGCCCCAGCACAGUGUCAUAUGGAAAGAAUGGAUCCUUCAAAAUAAAUUGACUGGAUUUUCUUUGCAUCUUUUCCUGUUUGGCAAUCUGUCUUCAUUGAAACCUUGGUGAAUCAGAUAACAAAACCUGAUGAGCUGUGCAUCAUAAAUCUGUAACUUAUCUCAUGGAUGAAUUCUUCCCUGUGCAUGUUACCCUAUAUUUAGGAUUUCAAGCAUACUCAUUAUCCAAGGGAUACAUGAACAAGAAGUCUGCAAGAAUUCUCUUCAAGCAUAUACUCCAAAUAUAACCUGCAAAGGUGGAACAGAGCUUUUCCCUUCCAAGAGCUUGUCUGAAGUAAGUAUAUGAAGAGCAUAUUAUAAAGAAUGUAGCACGUAAGACACAUGGUUAUGAAGCAAAUGAGCUUUUCAGGUGAAGGUAUCUUCUGGGAUAGAUGUAGAAUUCCUUGUUCCCACACACUUGUCUGAAACAGCUUAAAUGCAAAGAUCACUAAGUGAUCAUAGAAUGGUUUGAUCUGGAAGAGACCUUGUUCCAAUCCCCCUGCCAUGGGCAGAGACACCUCGCCUAGACCAGGUUGCUCAAAGCCCCAUCCAGCCUGGCCUUGAACACCUCCACGGAAGUGGCACCCACAACUUCACUGGGCAACCUGUUCCACUGUCACACCAUCCUCACAGUGAAGAAUUUCUUCCUUGUAUCUAGUAUAAAUCUACCUUCUUCUAGUUUAUAGCUAUUACCCUUCAUCCUAUCACUACACACCCUUGUAAAAACUCCCUCCCUAGCUUUCCUGCAGGCCCCCUUCAGGUACUAUAAGGUCCCCCUGCAGCCUUCUCUUCUUUAGGCUGGACAGCCUCGACUCUCUCAGCCUGGUCCCGUAGGGGAGUUGCUCCAGCCCUCUAAUCAUCUUUGUGCCCUCCUCUGGACCCACUCCAACAGCUCAACAUUCCUGUGUUGGGGGCCCCGGAUCUGGAUGCAGCACUCCAGGGAGUUUUCUCUCUGCCUCUAUUCAAUGCCACUGACCCAGGCAGUUAUCCUAACUGGUACAACUGGUGCUCUCAUUGCCACUCUGCAUGAACAGUAACAGCACAGUGGUGAGAGAGAGACCCAGGUACCCUCUCAUCAAGAGGUGUCCAAAGGGUCGAGCCUAUAUUGCCUUUGCCUGCCAACAAUUUUCAUCAUCAUACUCCAUCUAACAAAGAAGCACUUCUCUACGCGUGCAUCGCUCCUCAAUGCAUUGGCCUAGGAUUGUUCUGAGUAGAAAAAAGGAAACGAGAUUUAAUAACUGUGCAAGUCAAUAUGACCCUUCCAGAAAGGUGACAACAGCUGUAAGGGCAUGGAGACACGGCACUUGAAAUCUUCACACAACUGCAAGGGAAGCUCGCCAUUUUGCCUCUGGCAUUAGGACUCAAAGUGGGGAAAGGACCAGAGAUGUUUUCAGCUACCUCAUUAAGUGAGUGCACAGCUACUCUCCCAGGAGCUGGGAAGGAUAUUUGUCGCUCUCUGGCUUAAAUGACAUAUUUCAAAGCCACUGUUGUUAGCUUCCAACAAUGCCUCAACCUUGAAAGCAGUUUAUCUGAAGAUAAAGCUUGAAAGAGUAAGGCAUCUUCUAGCUCUAGGAAGACAAAAGAUGAUCAGCAUUUACAAAGAUUAGAGCCAAAACACAAUGGGAUGCUAUUCAAGGCAAGUAUUUAGAUUUUUAUUACUGCUUGUACUAUUGCUACCACCAGUACUUUUGUUACUGCUAUUAUUAUGAAGGCAAACACAAAAGCUCUCUGAAUAUGUUCCUCAAUAUACAAUACCUAAUCUCUCCAGAAUGAUGGUGAUUAUACAGAAAUGGAAGGGAAAACAUCAGUGUGAAGUAAAGUCACAGUGUUUAAGCUUCAUCAGUCCUUAGGCAGUGCCUCUGUGACCAAUACAGAAAAAAAAACCAACAAAAAAAAACCAACAACAAAACACCAAAACAAAACAAAAAAACCCCAUCUAAGAUGUAUUGAUUAUGAGAGCAUAAAAAGCACAUACCUGCUAGACCUUCACGUACAGGAACCAAGUAAGGUCUUGUCCAAUUUUUAUCAUAUUAUACAACACAAAAUUGCUUGGACUAGCAUUAAUAGACUAUAUUUGAUCUGAUCAUUGCAAGCUCUCUAUCUACACGCAGUGUUUAAAAUUCAUAUCAAUAUCACAUUAGGUCAGAAUCAAUAACAAAACUCAGAGUUUUUUCAGGUUGCCCUAGUAUCAAAACUAGAAGUAAAAAUCCAAACCUUUUCAUUACAUCUCUUAGAACUCAAAGUCCUGUUUUAAGAUACUUAGACCCCUAAGUGCAGACACAUUAUAUGGACUGCCAGCAUUAAAUGGACAUGGUGUUUCUUCCAGUGCCUGUAGUCCUGGACCAUUUUCUGUUGGUGAGCUCUCUCAUGUUGUUUAAGAAAAUAGCACUUAACCACUCAAUAUUUUGCUUGUCAGCACUGUGACAUGGAGCACUGUUCUGUCAAGCAGCUUGAAAAGGGCAGUAGCUCGCAGAGUGGAGGGAAAAAAAACACCAAUAAAAGGAGAUUAAUCCCAAGGAGAUUAGAAAACAAAAAAGAAGAAAAAAAAAAGAAGAAGAGAAUUUGCACAAGCACAAGCACAAAAAUUCUGGAGAUUUUGAGUUGUUUCUCACAGCAAGCCAGACCUUCAUAACCUGGCAGGAUGCUGCAUGCUCCUUCUGAAAAUCCCCUUCUUUGAUGCAUGCAGUAUGCCAUGAUCCCAGCCCAGAGUGAAGACAAUUCUCCCAUCCCAUGCUCCUUCCCACAGCCCUGCCAUGUCCUCAGGGAAUGGAUCCCCCAGUGGAAGAGAAACGAUGAGCACCAGGGAUUGUUUGGCACAGACUGGGUUGUCUUUUUUGAGGGGCAUUUCUGCCAAAUGGGAGUGAGAGCAUUAAGAGGAGAAAAACUGGCAGCUAGAAUAGCAUGCAAAAAUCUAGCCCAGCUAAUGCCACCCAACUGUUCAUGGGUUUGUUGAAUCAACAGCAGUACCUUCCAGCCUUCAGUGUGAGAAAGUGAAAGCCUAGGAAAAAAGCAGAAGAUUUUGUGUAAGAUCUUCCCAUGAGGUGUGUGAGAUGGCUUUAAAAAUUCCUGUGAGCUGAGAAACCGUGCUCUGCUCUUACCAUGAUGGGUACUCUUCCAAGAGCUGAAAUAACAAAAGCUGUUAGCAGAGCCGUGGGAGUGAGCCAGAGUGGCCAUCAGAGGCGAGCAGCAGGAGGAGAGAGGGAGCAGGUAAGAGAAAUAGGUCACCCCAUCACACAGAUCUGCCUAAAUUAGGCCUUGCUACUUGUGAAAAAUUAAUAAUCUCAGACAGAAAGGGAAGGUGACAGCAUGAAGGGAGAAGCGACCCACCAGCCUCCACAGAAGACUGACAUUGUUUGAGCUGUGCUUAUAUUUUAGCAAUUAGGUAUUGCUAUUCUAUAUUGUCUUUUUUUUUUCUGAUUUUUUUUUCUAUAGUGCACGACAAAGUGCAUUAUUUUCCUAUAUUUUCUGGGGAGAAAUUCCCUUAAAUUUGGACCUUGCCUCUGUGGCUGCCAACCGAGUCCUUCUGGAAGGGAUGCACAGCCUUCAUUCUGAAGGGUACCAGUUGGAUAUCACUUGUUAGUAGUGGAAAAUUUUACCCUCAAGCUUAUAAAUCUUGAGAAGAAUUGCAACCACUUACAGAUCAGGAGAUGCUACAGUCCUUCUUUAGGCAGGGUGGGUUGACAAAAUCACCAGGGCCAGCGAGGAAAUUUCGCAAGGGCCAUUCUUCCACUGACCACAUCCCAAGGAAGAGACUCAUUUUGGUCCAGGAACACCCUUCUCUCCCAGCAGGAUCUCAAGAUCACAGAUAGUAUUCCCAGUACGAACAGUGUUCUGUCCUAAGUAUUUAAUCUGUAGAUUUAACCUUUUCUUGACCUUGCUUUGCAGAAUGCAGGUGGCUGGGCCUUACGAGGGAGCCUUUGAGAAGUUAUUUUGGUGAAAAGCUGGCUGCCACCCACUGUGCUUCUCUGCCAGCCGCCGUGCUCCUUCACUCUCACCACACCUCUCUCAUCCUCAAGAUAUUUGAAGAGUUUGUAUUCAAGGUGUGGAACAUCCGUGUGAUCCAGCCUGUAAAAUACCAUCGUGGAAGGUACAACAUGCCCUGCAUUAUAGGUCAUUUAUUUUUAUAUACAAGGACAGGGAGAAAGAAAAAAGAGUAGAUUCAGGAGUUUUCAGGGUGUGGAGCAGAGCCCAGGGCUCAACAAAACUAAAUGUUUCUAGGAAGGGGUGUUCUCACAUUUCUAGGUUCUGCUAUUCAGAGAAGGGUGUUUUUUGUUUUGUUCUCAGCAAAAUCCUAUUCUUGGUGUGGCUGCUUUUGAGCUCCAUAACACUCUGCAGGCAAUAUGUUUGUUUCUGAAACAAACAUCCGAGUUCAUUUGGGUUUGGGAGGACGCUAAACUCAAAACAUAUUUUAACAAAACUGGGUACUGACUUGGAGAAAUAAAAUAGACAUAUUACCUUUUUACACAUGCUCUUGUUAAGAAAGGCCUUUUCCUUGUCAUGCUGUGUCUCCUUCCCCCCAUUCUGGUCUACAAGGUAAAAAGAUGCUCGCAUAGGCUAUAAUAUUUAAAGAGAUGUCAGAGGUGUUAUACAUAGAUCUACAAGAAUGUUAAGUUCCGGCUGGUGUCUGUGUACACACCCCUCACCCCUGCCUACUGGAUGAAACAUGCAUGAGACCUGCUCAAGUGUUUAUAAAUUCUUUCCACUGGCUGAGCCUGCGAAAAUGCUCUUGUAGAUUGCUGGUUAGAAAUGCGUCCUAUGGAGGUAAAGGGCAUAAAUGCUGUGAUUGCUUUCUGCAUGCAUAUAGGUAUCCCAUGUAUAGUUACACCAAUUAUUUUACCAUCUAAAAUCACUCGGCUGAAGAGCUCUCCUAUUUGUCUGAGCUUCUAGUAUAGGGAAAAAUUUUUCUUUGACUUGAGUUUGGUACAAUCCACUAAAGGAGGAGGUUAAGGUGGUAAACAAGGUACAAACCAUAUAUGGGUGCAAGUCUGCAGAAAGAUGUGUAGGAAAAGGAGUGAAUAACAGCCCCCGAGGGAGAUGUGGGGAGCAUUAAUUCAUGUGCUCCUCUACUGCCUGCUGUCUCUUGUAUCCCCAGUGAAAAUACUCCAGGUCACCGAAGAGGUGAACCCUUAUCGCUUCCCCGGAGCGCAGCAGUCACUUUGCAUCUCCUUGCUCCAGCUGGAGAGAGUCAGGAAAGUCAUGGUAAGGAUGUAACUGUCAGGAGCACCAACCUGGUGGUACUUGAGUUAUUACGGGAAAAUGGAGUACAGGUCUUGCUAGGAGCAUGGUAAAAGCCAAAGGGGAGCAUCAUUAAAAGGUAUACUGUUACAGAGGCUCUACAGCUAACAAGAAUGAUGCUCCCUCGGGGGGGAGCAAACCCCUGUCCAAAGCACUGUCUUGCUUGCGUAAGAUGGAUCAGCAAGGAGGUAAUCUCUAGAAAAACUAAAGCCAAGAUUAAUAACAAAAGUACAGUCAGCAUCUUGACAGGGAGUCUUUACAAGAUAAUUUAUGACAAUGAAGGAAUAAAGGGUAUGGACCACGGUAAGUGUGUAAGAGAAGGACAGUUCUGCAAAACAGGCUUUUUACAUGAAAAAUGAGGAGAUUUUUACCUCUCCAUAGUUGAGAAGACUUGAAGAUACAACUCAUUCAUUUUUGUGUUUUUUAAUGCUACCUUUCUCCAUUAACCCUUCACAAGUACUCACUACCACAAAAACAUCUCUUCUGGUUUUUUUGUUGUUGUUGGCUGCUUCUCUGGGAAAAGCCACUCAGAGCUCAGUGCCAUUAGGCUGAUCCUCAACUCCUCUGAGUGGCUGGGGGCCAAAUGAAGGCAUAGGCCAUACUACUGUUUGUCUAACCCUUGGGCUGGCUGGGAGACAAACUGACACCAAGUCAGGGCACAGAAUCAUUCACAGACCAGGACAUCUAGAGCAAGAUUCCUCUGUGGAGGUUUAUAUAUUGGUGAAACUUCUGAUCGCUUAUUCAUUCUUAGAUGUCUGUUUUUCCUUUUACACAGCAGCAAGCUAAUGUGGAAUAGUCUGUUAUAUAAGAGACACCAGGUGUUAUAGGUUCACCGUUCUAGGUUUGCUUGAAACAAGCCUAGUGGCUUUCUCUUACUGGCUCAGGAAUGCUUAGUCCACAUUCAGUGUGAAACAGUGCAGCCUAAGGUGAGCUGCUUCUGGUCAUCUUCCUUUAGCCCUGAAGCAACUUCCCUUGCCUGCCUGCUAAUGCCUGUUCUGAGGCCCCGUUCUGAGAUACAGGCUCAAGAUGAGUCAUCCAUUGCAGGUCUCUCCCUAGUGACUCUAAGAGGCAUAAUUCACUGAAGGAGCCUCAGGUUUAGAUGGUUAAUGUCAGAUGAAUCCACCUCUAAAGAAGUCAGUGGUGAUGGAGUGCAAAAUGGGAACCAGGUCCCAUGGCCUUCAAGUCAGAUCAUUAUGACUGGACUAUCUGGUGGAGGAUACAGGAGGAUGCCCUGUAAAUCUCUAAGAAUAAGGCAGUGGAGAUUACUGUGUGUAAACGUUGGUUUAUUUUAAUAACAGAGCUAUUAGGAAGCUGGCUGGAAGGCUGCACACUGUAUCCAGACUAACAGGGGCCGUGAUAAGACAGCCAGGAGGUUGCUAUUUCCAGAAUCCAGCUGCACAUUUCUUUUGCUAAGAGAAGGAAUCAAGAGAUCCUAAGACUGCUGGACAUUAGAAGUGAGCUUCUUGAACAAAAGGCUCACCAAGCUGUCCAGGAGCUGUUUGCAGAGAAAGGAUAUACAGAUAGACAGACUGCCACCAGGGGCCUGAAGUCACAGAGCCUACUGCUGCACUAGGGAGAGGUCAGAGGAGCAGCUAACCCUGCAACUGUGACAAAUCCUAUGUCUCAAUCUUUUACACGCUGGCUUUCCCAUCCCUCUAAUCCUCUCUGUCACCUGUCCCCAGGCCCCUGCUAUUUUUACUAUAUCUCUUUUUGUAUCUGAAAUGGCCAGAAUGAAAGACAGUCUUUCAAUUUAUAUAGUGGCGCAAAAAAUAAGACUAAAAAUCUCCCCCACGGAAUCUGAGACAACAGCCAGCAUGAAACAGCAAAGGCCUUCAGGGAAUGGUCUGGACCUUUUUGUCUGAACAGUUGCAGUUAAGGCAGGACCCAACAAGGCACAUGAGCUUGUGGUUUCCUCUGGUGUGCACUGCAGGUUGUGCUUCUGCAAGUGAUGCCUGCUGUAUGAGGCUGUGCAGGUGCGUCAGGGCAGUGCAUCAGGGCUGGCUUCUGCCUGGUAGCAGGGCUUUGCCAAACCCUGCAAAGCUGGAGAGAUGCAGCCUGACUGCAGCAGCACAGAUGUUUGCCUGCCAGGGGGCUCAAAUAGCAUCUGGCUCCCUAACACCUCUCUUCUGAGCCUGGCCCUAGGUAACAACAAUAACAAGAGAUCCGGAAAGCUGUUUCUCUCCCCACCUGUCUCUCUCAACAGUGGUGGUUUCACACUGAUCACAGCUCUGCUCCACCACGCUUCUCUCUCACUCCCCCUCCUCAAUGGAACAAGGGGAGAAAGAGAAAAUAUGAUGAAAAAAAGCUCAUGGGUUGAAAUAAGGACAGGGAGAUUGCUCACCAAUUACUGUCAUAGGCAAAACAGACUCUGUGUAGGGAGAUUAAUCUAAUUUUUUGCCUCUUGCUGACAGACCAGAGCAGUGAGAACUAAAUGCAAACAAAAAGGAGAGGCUUCCUUCCAGCCUCUCCUGCCUCCUCCCCCCCCAAGCAGUGCAGGGGAAUGGGGGCUGCAGUCAGCCCAUAACUCUUCAUCUCUGCAGCUCCUCCACAGUCACUCUGCCCCUGCUCCACAUGAGAUCCUUCCCAAACUGAUCCCAUGUGGGCGUCCCACAGGCUGUGGCUCUCCAAGCACUGCUCCAACACAGAUCUGUACCCCAGGGCCCAUCCUUCAGGAGCACGCUGCUCCAGCAGCUCCCCAGGCCUCCUGCUAGGCCCAGUGCACUGGCCCACCCUUGGGCCCCUUCUCUCCUUUUUGAAGCCUGCACUUCAUCGUACAGUCUUCCCUCCCAGUGAUGUCAGAAGAAGGAAAAGUGUGUAAUAGGCAGAAAAAUCAAAACUAUUGACAUCGCUGCUGAUUUCAGCAGUGACUCAUCCUCAGCCUCACACUGAGAGAGCUAACAUUCGUUGCUCAUUAUAAAACAAUAUCUCCUAAGGUGGGGGGGUGUAGGGGAAGUGCUCUGUGCUUCCAAUAAGAGCAUGUUUAUUCAGGAAAAACUCAGCGUGCAAUUUACCAUCAGGCAGGCUCGCCUGCACACGCACAUGCAGGUAAUGAUGGUGUUAGCUGCCUGACAAAUUGCGGGGCCUUGCACAUUUGACCUCCUCCCCUGCCCUGCCUGCGGUAUCGCAUCUCCCAAGGGGUUCAUCCUGACAUCCCACCCCAGAGCAGCUACCAGCCGCUGCCAUUUUGGGUUUUCUGCCUAUUUAUUUAUUUCCAAAGAUCCUCCCAGCUCUCACCUCCAGGGUAAUUCCAUCUGUACUGCAUGCAGGGCUUGGUUUGGUGUCCAGUCUUGCUGGAGAAUCAAGUACCCUAUCCAUCAUUCCUCUGCCUAUAAAUGUGAACUUGCAGCAGUGGAAAGGGGAGCUUUAAACCUUUUUGAAGAGGCGUUUGGCUUUUACCUUUAACCCUGAGUAUUCUCCAGAUAUUGUUCUUCAAAGCUGAGACCUUUUUCAGUAUAGAAAAAAAGUUACUCUGGACAUCUUCCAAAUUGCUUUGGAUUAAGUUUAAUCUUUUCCUACCAAACUCUGUACUGAUCAUUGUACAGUAACUAGGGCUUGAGAAGGAGGUCUAGAAACAGUCCUGAUAAAAUUCUUAAGAUUCUCAAGCCUUGCCAGAAUAGUUUUGCUCUAAAAAAUUCAGCUUAUAAUCUCUGAUUCAGCACAUCUUUAUCUUCUGGAUUUUAGUACAAGUUAAGUACUUAACUGGUGCAUAGUAACAGAUUAAAGCAUAUGUUUAGAUGCUUUGCUGGAUACAUGAUGUUGUGCUGCAGGGUUUUUUCUUCACCCAUUCAGAGCUGGAAGGGCACAGAUUCUCUGGUGCUGUUGGGGCUGUGACAAAAGAAGGCUUCUCCCAUUCAGCCAGGUGGACAGCUUCAUACCACAUUAUCUGAUGUCCUCGUGAUCUCUUUCUAGUCUGUCUAUUUGGGCCACUUUAUCAUAGUGUGAGGAAAAAAAAUAUUCAUCAGACGUUUUGUAUCUUAGUAUGUUAGUAAAUGACCUCAAAUUAUAGCAUUAUGUUUUCAAAAUUUGUUAUGUAAAGAUAAUCCUGUUUCUAUAACACACUAGUAGGAGUCAGCCCUUGACAUAUAUUCUGAUUGGUAGGUCAUUAUUUUAAUUGCUAAACUUUAAUAAAUGUCAGUGUUUGCCCUGCUCCUCUCCCUCAGAUUGUCUGCUUUUGAUUUCUGAUGAUUCGCAAGCUUUCUCUUAUUCCCUCUGGGUUUCUUCAUUUCUCUUCAGUUCAGAAAGAGUGGUUCCCCAUUUCUCUCUACCUGCAGUGCAAAGGCUUCCCUUUGCUCUUCCCAACCCGCAUGUUGUAAUUAUAAUCAGUUAUGAAAAGUCAGCAAAUGGCAAUUUAAGCAGUUGAUUUUCAGUAAAAAUAGAUGCUGGAUCUUCUUGAGCAGUCAGGGCAGACACCGAGCCUGUCAGUCAGGAACUCUCAUGCUUGGCAGGACGAUUUACUUGUCUGAUGUUCCUACUCGUUUUCCAUCAUAAAAUGAAAACAUUUCACUUGUCAAACAUCUUCCUUUUUUUUGGGAUGCAUCUCGCACGCACGCUGCUCGGCCAUUUGAAACUCAGCUGUGCCUCUAGCAGUCAGUCUGACAGCUCAGCCAGACUCUAUCCUAAAGAGGUUUCCCAGGAACCCAUUGAAGCAUCCCAUAAGUUUGGGGACUGCACAGUGGAAAGAUUUUUUUUUAUUGUGCGAUGUUUCCAAACAGAAUUAACACUUUAUAGAAGCAGGAUAGGAGUUUUGAGUUCUUUGAAAUGGGGGAAAAAAAGAGUCCUCUCUCUACUGAAGUGUCCUGGCUGAAGCAUAAGCUCUCCCCUGCUAGAAGAGCUUGUGUCGAACAGCAGAUCCAGUGCUCUGCUAGCAGUGGAUCUGGCCUCCCUGGCUCCUUGGGCUUGGUUGCCCCUCGGUGACUUUGGGCUGAUGUCCCAGUGUAGCCAUGGUUCCUCAGGCCAUUCCACCUGGCUACUGACUGCUGCCAUCAGCAUUUCUCCUUAGCUUGGCUCAGGCCCAGAGAUCCCAGCUUGGAUCCUGUACCUCAUCCCUACUGGCAAUGGGAAGGACAGGGUCUGACCACACUGCAGCGUGGCCACAGUUCCCAACGCAUGCCAUCCUUCUCUCUGGCAGCUGGAUUUCUGUUCUCUUGACACCACGCAGACCUCUCCCACUGUUUCCUCUCUGCAGCUGCCCCAGCUGCAGCCCUCGGUGGGAAACCUGCUUUGCUUGCUGAUCUGGAAGCUAUUUUAAGUCAUGAGGCUCUUGCCAUGCAAAUCAAGGUAGCGUUGUGCAUUUGUUAUGAAAAAUUACCACCAUUCAAUUCAUCAGUCAGUUAUUCAUCUCACACUGUAAUUGUAGCUUGUAUACCACUCACCAUCUCUAGGUGCAUCAAGUGAGCUGAUCUCGUAUUUAAGAAUUUGCCAACAGUAUAAAUGGAUGCAAUUAUUUGACAAAGAUUUUCCAGCAUGGGGUUUUACAACGCAUGUUUUUUCCUGAGUUCUAAAGUGAGGGGCUAACCUUAGUAAUUUAAACAACAGUGUUUAUCUGCCUGUAAUUUACACCUGGGAAAGAGAAACAUGGGGUGAAUGGAGUGAUUUUCCCGUGUUCGCCCAAGAAGACAGUUGCCAAACUGAAUUCAGAUCCAGUGCUCAAUCCACUAACUCGCCUCCUCUCCCGCCCCCCCAGCCACAUUGCCCACAACAGCAAGUUCUGCUGUAUGUAAGCUGGGAUGCAAAAGCAAGCACAAAAGCUGAUUUCAGGAGAAGUCAAAAUGCCUCUACCGCUCAAGGCUGACAUCAUAAGCAGAGUAAGAGGAUAAGUUAGCUGGAGAGCAAAGCACUAAAAUACUGGAAGAGUGAAAAAGGGCACUGGCAGUAUGAAGCCACCUCUUUCCUUGGCCAAAUGAUGCACCAAUUAGUGGCUGGUUAAUAUUUAACAUAUGUUUUAGCAUUUGAGUAGUGUGCCAGGACAAAGGGCGUCACUAUUUUGAUAAGUGAUUGAACUUUCAGUAGCAAGUGGAGGGAGAUUUUUAAUUUCAAAGCAAAUAAAGGGAUUGGCAAGUGCUAUGGCCUAAAAUUUUAAUUUCCUAUCUUUUCCAAUUAUAUUAAAGGCAAACCAAAUGACUCUUGUGUUGGCUGAAGAUCUUAGGGUAUUGAAAGCUUUUGCAUUACAGCAGCUUAACAAAUUACCACCCAUCUGGUAGGCCGUCAUAUCUGGCCCCAUGUGUGCUCUUAGCAAUCCUUAUAUCAUGAACUGGAGCACAUCAGCGUUGGUGGGUUGGCCCGUCCCUCAGAGGUGCUAACGCCAUUUGUUUGGGAGGGCGACAGCACCCUUUGGCCAGGUGGUAGGAGCUCGCAGCCAUCUGCUGAGCUUCUGAAACAUGUGGCAGUAAGGUCUGGGAGCUGCUGUCAAAUCUCCACCUUCUGCAAGACAGAUCCUGUGGGGUAGGGAAAUGAUGGCAACUGCAGACGUGAAGCUUUCUGGGAUCUGACCCAGCGAUACCUCUGGCAGACAUCUGCAGUCUCUUCUACAUGUCCUAAGCUGAAAAAUGGCACCGAAGGCACAUAAUGAUGGCCAGCUGUUUGUUUCCUUGGAUAGCAAGCGCUGUUCUUACCAAUUCAAGUGACUUAAUUGCUUUGAGAAGGUCUUUAAUUUGCAGAUUGUACCUUGAAUUAGCCUGUACGGGUGCUGAUGAGAUCGAUUACCUGCAUUAACAAGGAGGAGCAGUGCCUUGGUGUUCUUGCAGUGUGCACUUUCAGAUUAAAUAGCAAACAGAGUAUGGCAGGACAAGAGGAGGCAGUGGCACUGAAGACAUCGAUCUGAGCUACAUGUCUCACCCAGAACCGUGCAGGUUUUGCUGUACACACAAUCAAAUAUGUCAAAUGGCCCCUAAAAUGUAAAUGUUAGCAGUCAAGGUCACCUUCCAAAGGAUGCCGAGCAGCGUGCCCCAGGCAGGCCCCAUUAGCGGCAGCUCUGACAGUGUUCCCACCACCUUCUCCUCCCCCAGCUCUUUGCUCCGUGCUGAGAAAUAUUCCAGAGGCAAAAGUCUUUCCUAUUUGAUGCUAAAAAGCUGUUCCCUCCUCCCAGCCGGCCAAGGCUCAAGUUUAAUAAAAAUCCUCAUUAGUUGUCAUCUAAAUAUGCAGGAGGUCCAUGCCAAGGAUUGCAGCCGAGAUAGGGAAAGCCAAGACAGGUUCUAAUUAAGGAUGAGGCCGGACCAAAACCUUGGGUCAGAAGCUAAUACCUUGUGGAAAUUUGGAUCCAUAGCCCUGAAUGCUAUUGACGAGGAUGAUCUCUUCAAUGAAAGCCCCAGGUUCUACCUGGCAGGGCUGUCGCAAACCCUUGGAGAGAUCCUUUGAUUCAGUCGCCCCACAUAACAUGGUGGAGAUCCUCUGCCUGCUUCGCUUUAAUUAAGGGAUGGGAAGCUUUAAUUAAUGCAACAUGACAGUGAAAAUAUAAUCAGCGGAGUGGCCCUUGUUGUUUGUUUGCAUGUUAAUUUUGCAUUUUGCAUGCUUUAAAAAAAAAAAACCAAAAAAUACAUUACUUGCUUUUUAAUUCUGUGUGGCUGCGCUGCAGAGCCUGUAGCCACAACACAGUGUUCCUCAAGGAGCUCUGGGGAGCGGAGUGUUAAUCAGUGCUGGGUUUGGCACCUGAGGAGCCACAGGAGGUGCUUGGGGAUUAUAAAUCAAACAGAGUAGCUGGGCUUUUCUGUUAACAUGAUCAUUAGGGAAAGACUGAAAAAUCAAUGAUAUUUUGUAUUUCUUUCUUUGUGUUUUUGGGUCAGCAGUGUACUGAGGCGUGGGAUCGCUCAUAUGAGUUGCAUGUGUUCUAGCCUUAGCAAAAACCAUACAUAAAUAUAUAUAAAUUUCAGUUCUGCAGAUAAGAUAGAGUGUCAUAUGGCUAUGAGGUCUACAGUACAAAAGAGAAAUCCUGAAUCUGAAACUGUGGUGAGCUAUGUUCAUCUUCCCUUGCAGCUUAAGCUGCAGAAUUGCUUCCAGUUUAAACUUAUUUCUUUUCUUAGCCUACUAAUAUGUAGAAGGAGCUGAGUUACCCUCCGGCUGAGCAGAGAUGGUGUUUUCAUCCUAUAGCAUUCACUGUGCAUUUGCAAUGAGAUUUUCACCCCACAGCUUCAUUUCUAUCUAGGAGGGCUCUUGGGUUGCAAAUGGGGAUGCUGUGGCCAAAACUGAAGCUGAAGCAUGGGCACCUCAGCACAUCUCCACCAAGUCUCAAAACACAGGCCAUUAGCACUUUAUGUUGCCAGAGGCCUCAGUGGGAGUGCAGGUAAGAAUACUGGCUUUCAGCCACCAACAGCACCGUGAUCUCCUGAGAGACCAUGAGUGGAACAGCUCAGGUGUCCUAAACAAAUGUAUCUGCAUCUGAGCUGCACACUUCCUAUUUGCUUUAAAGCUGGUAGGAUGGAAUAGACACUCUGUCUCACCCUAAAAGCUUCAGAGACAAACCUUAAAGUGCCUGCGUCUCUUUGCAGAAUGCAAGUUGCCCCUCCAAUGACUUGCUUACAUGGAGUUUGCCUGAUGGGCACUGAGAGCCAAAUGAGAUGAGUCCCACUUGUCACAUAUAUGACCCACUGGAGCCAGAAUCCUGCUUUCACAUUUUCAAGGAGCUCAAGUGAGCAGUAUUUAUACUAAGAAUUUAUGGAUAUAUAACUUAACAACCGAGACAUUGUUACUCUGCUUAUUCAACUACACUUGGAGCUAACAGAAGACCUUCUCUCCAACGCAUCUUUCUGUUGAGCUUAGAUCUGAAGACAUUGAAAAUAAUUGCAUUAAACUUGAUGAAAAUUUUUGCAAAAUUAAUACCUGAAGCUGAUUCUUCUUGUCAACAGUACCUAAGAAGCUCUGAGAUGUCCACGAUGGACCUACAAGUAAUUUGUCUAAAUGGCAUCUGUGUUACACACUGAAAGAGUAAUAAGGAAACAAAUAAAGACCAAUCAACCGACCUAAUAACCCACAUCUCCUGCUCUGCCAGCAUUGUAGAUCCUGACAGUGUUUGCCUAAAACAACAUUCCCAGCUGCAGUCAGCCACAUGCACACAGAAAUGUUAGCUACUUGCUGCAGAAAGUGUUAUGAAUAUCGUUAAUGGAAAUUGCAUGGUGUUGGUAGCAGGCUAGAACUCAGACAACCUUUAGGAAGUAGCUGAGAGAAGAAAUCAAAGCUGUUGAACAAACAUUAAUAUUUCCUUCAGUUGUGUGAGACUCCUGUGAAGAUUUACAUAAUUAAUCUUCAGCAACAAAACAUUUAUAAUGCAGUUUAAUAAUCUGGGUGAUAGACAGGUCAUGUUAAUUACCAUCUUUCUUCCUGGUUUUAAAAGCCACUGUUCUCGAGCUCUUAGCUCAGAAGUGACUGGCUUGUAUCAGCUUGAAGUCAGAGCGGGUCUGCAGAUGAUUAAUGCCUGAAUGCCUGACACCAGCCAAGGAUCUGCGGGACACGUCCGAGCCCUUGCCCUGCCACAGGCUUUGAGUGCAUCUGGGAGCAAGUGGUCUUGGACACACUUCUACAUUGCUGAUAUCCCAGCAGCUGAUAGCCCAGCAACUGCUAUUUGAGAUCCCAGUUGCAGGUCUCUGUCUGAGAGAUCUGUUGUUGUUAAAUCCUAUUGUGUCGUCAUCUGCUGAAGAGGUGCCAGCUUCUUGUGGGAGGAGGGCAGGUGGAAGCGAACAGCUUGAGUGGCACUUCUGGUCAUCACCAAGAACCUGUUGCCUAACUAUUAUGAAGGCUUUUCUGGCUCUCCUGUACAAGGUCAGAGUAGAGGAAGGGUUUCAAGGACAGCGCUAUGGUGGGUUUUACACCUGUUAGGUGAGGUGCUCCAUGUACUACCAUGGGGGAGAACAUGGUAGAAAAGAAAAAGAGAUUCAAGGGAGCAGCAUUGACUGAGGUAAAUGGGAGACAGAAAUUGCCUUUUCAGUGCUGAAAAGAAGAUGAUUAGCUGUUAGGAGGAAUAUCUUUACUCAGAGGGUGGUGGGGCACUGGAGCAGAGAGGUUUUGGGUACCCCAUCCAUGGAGGCAUUAAGGGCCAGGUUGGAUAGAGCCCUGGGCAGCCUGAUCUGUUGAAUGGCAGCCCUGCCCAUGGCAGGCUGUGGAACUGGAUGGACUUUAAGGUCCCUUCCAAACCAAGCCAUUCUGUGAUUCAUUCUAUGAUAGCACAGGGACAAGAAGCCUUCACACCAAAGAGAAGGAGCAGCUAGUGGAGGUAUAAACUUGAGAGCUGACAGUCUGUGAGAGCAAUCUCCAUAGUGGUGCUAUAGAGGAAUGCUGGCAAGGCAAGGCUCUGGUAGUGGUAAAGGAAAGGAUGCUGUGAUAACCAAGACCCCAGAUAAUGAGUGCCUGGUUGAGAGUUUUAGUUGUGUAACUGGAUAAGCAGGCCUGGAUUCUACUUUAGCUUGAAGAAAAGAUGAAUCUGUAAGGUAUAGGCUAAAUGUGAGAAGUUCACACUCAGACUGAGAACUUGAUGUGGGAAAAUAGUGUUAUCCAACUGCUUGAGAAAGAGCUGUCAGGAAGAACUGGGCUUUGACAGGAAGAGCUGUGCUGCAGUCAGGCACAGCUGGCUGACCUCUAAUGAGCUGCUAACCAAGCAGGUAUUGCAGUUUGGGCAGGAAGAGACCUUUCCUAUGAGAGAGAAUCCAUCAGUAAAGGAAAGAGCCAGCCAGGCAGUGGUGCUGGUAAACUAAAUUUCCAAAAAUUAAAGGGUGGAAGGAAAGAGGAGGGCAAAUCCAUGGAAGCAAAGAGAAGGAGCAGGUCUGGUGGUAAUGCAUGAGGCUGGAGAGCUAGGAGGGCUGGAAUGCGGAUGUGGCUGCCCACAGGGCUGGGAGGAAGCCAGAGAGGCAGGCUGGAGGUCAGGAUGGUUUCCUAAGGUGUGAACUACUGCCUUCGAGGAAAGGGCCACAGGGCAGAAGGUAUGGAAUAAACCAGGAAAAUAGAACUUUAAGCUAAUUUAUCUGAUAAGCUAUUAUAUAUGAGAAUAUUUGUGCUCUUUUACUCUCUUAAUGUGGUAUUCAUCAGUUACUAGGCAUGUGUGAGCCAAAUUGGUGGGUCAAGAAGUCCCUUAAAACAAUCGCUGUCUCGAGAGACUAGAAGAUAAAAGCAGUUUCUAGGAGUGUCUUCUCCUUCCAGGUUUUUCAACUUGGGCUUUUUAGGUAAGAAAGGGUGACUGAGCUUCUGUGAGUCAAAAUGUGUUUGGUCUCCUUACCCUAGUAAUCCUGCAAAAUGCAUACUGUAGGAAUGCUUGUAUGCCUUUGUAUCCUGUGCUAUCUUGGUGCCUGCAUCAGCACAGUCAGAAAAGCAGAAUUUCACCCUACAAGAACUGGUAUCCUGGCAUCAGACUGUGCAUUGUAUAAUGCUUUUGGGAGAAGGUUUUAGUGCACUCAUUUGAUGCUCUGGUGCCUGAAGUGGGUGGAAAAAAAAAAAAGAAAAAAGAAAGAAGAAAUCAAAUAGGGAUCUUGAUAAAUAGAAUUUCAGAUCUUGCAUAAUAUCAGUCAAUGGCAACAGCAGGUGUUUGAUAGUACUGUGAACUUCCUUGGAAUGGGAUCCUGCCAACAUGGCUGUGAUUCAGUGCAAUGAUUCAGUGACUGCAGGACGGUAUCCUGCCAACCAGCCUUCCAGCAGAAAAUUGAUCACCCCACUGCAAACACUGCCAGUCCAUUAGCAUUUCAAAUUUUGUCUAUCUGCAUGGCAGUAGAAACCGUGCAUCUCCUCCAGGUAAUGGAAGGAGGGAGAAAAAUUCCCUUUUCUCCCAGGAAAGGAUGAAAUUAUCAGCUGCAGUGUUAUCUCAAAGAGGAACAUGGAACAUGUUUUCUCUGAGGAGUUUAAAGAAAUAGUUUCCUUUCACUACCCAAGCUCUGCUUUUCCUUCCAUCUCCAACCAGGAACCUUAUGAAGACAAGAGAGUCCCAUCAGCUUUCACUUAUGCCUUACAAACUGUGCAGAGAUACUACCAACAUCCUGAGUUGAGCAAGGAAACUCACAGAGCUGUUGUUUGCAUUCUCCUUUACAGAUAUUUUUUGACUGCUUCCUUGCACAUGGGCAAGCACUGCUGUACUCCCUGCUGUCCGCCCAGUGCCUCCACAGAGCCCUCCGAGCUCUGCAAUAUGGAUGCGUGCAUACAAGGCCCCACUAGAGACAACCCGCACAUGCUGAUACCAGCCCUCACCUUGAAGUGAGUAUGUGAGAUGAAACUUCCUCCAAGUAAACUCUGCACCAGGGAUGCAGUGCUGGGGAAAGCAAACAAGAUUUAGCUCAGCUCUCCUAUUGCUCCAUUUUCCCGUUGUGUAGCAGAAAGAAAACCCAGACUGAAGCUGAGAAGCAAUUCUCAGUGCUGCUGCUGUAAUCUUUGUUACAGCACAAUGUUCUCAUCCUUGCCCAGCUCUUUCAAACCUGCUGUAAUAUGAAUAAUGAUCUACUCCACUUAGGGCGACUUUGUUAAAUACUUUGCCUUUAUCGUCGGAGCUGCGUAGCCGUCCAGGAUCAAAAGGGACUCUUUGAGAGAUGAUUAGAGCAGGAGGGGAGGGUUUAGCGGCCUAAGCACUGCAUUUGCAAUAAUUAGGCUCCCUGGUGUGAUAGGUUCAAAUCCUAGCAGGGUUGACUCAGCCCUUCAUCCCUCUGAGGUAGAUUAAAUGGGUUUUCUGUAGUAGGGUCUAUUGGACAAGACCUUAAAAAAUGCACAGACACAUCAGUUUCUCCUUUGUGCUCCAGAGCUGAAUGUUACAAAUACAUAAAACAGAAAUUCGGAGUGUUUCACGUAAACCCAGCUGUCUGCCCAAGGACUGCUUGCCCACACCUGUGCUCACUGUUGCAGUGAUCACAUCGCUUUCCCACCUGCCAACCUCCUUCCCACAGGGGCUUCUCGGUGGAAGUCAUCUUGUAGUGAGGGCAGUGUUUGGGGUAAAGCAAUGCAGUAUGAACGUAUCCUGUUACUAAACAGAACCAUCAACCUCUAAUUUCUAGAUUACUCUUUCAAAACAAGCACUUUGUACUAUGCAUUGAUAUUCUCUCUCUUGAGAGUGUCUAACCACAACUCCCACAGUGGUCCCAGCCAUGAGUCGAACCAGAGCACAGGUUAAUGUAGCACAACACACUGAAAAAGACUUAAUUCUAGUUUUACAAACACCAUCAUAAAAGCUUUUCUAGGACGACUCCAGUUCUGUAGGAAGUAUUGUUGUCACAUGUCUGUUUGGCCUGCAUAAGAAGCCAAGUUCAUUGUCAGUAGGGAAUUGUUCAAGAGGAGUUUGUCAUCCCAGAGCAAGUUCUUGGGAUUCAUUGAGAAGGUAAAGGAAAGGGUGCUUCAAUCUUGCAUCCCAGGGCUCUCCUUGGCACGGACAAAUCCACACCAAAGAUGGUGACAGUGAAGAGAGGGAUCAUGAACAAAACACGUGGAAAAGCUCUUUACGGAGUCGGAAGUUGAGCACGGGCAGGCAGGCAAGAAGAGAUGUGGAAGGGUAUCCAGGCAAGGGAAGAGUUGGGUUGACACAGAAGACAAGCAUGCAGAAGAGGAAAAGGGCUAGGGAGUAGUACUGACAGGGGUAAAAGACACAGAAAAGGCUAUAGAAAAUAUCACUGGAACUGAAUGAUGGGGGAUGUUCCAUUUACACCUAAUGGUCGUGUUUUGUUUGUAGAGAAGUGCACUUGGGCGACAAGCGGUGGUGGACAGUGGGCUUUUCUGAAUUCCUCUUGCAUUUGUCCACAGCCCAGAGAUGCAGAGACUGUAGACCAUGCUAGUGCUUCAUUUGUCCAUUGUGUACAUAAUGCUUCUUCAUCAAAGAUAGCUGUUGUCCCUACACAACCAAUACUGGGGGAAAAAGGGGAGUGAGAGCGAGUGAUGCAAGUAUGACUGAAUAGCAGUCGAGUACAGCUAGCUAAUUGCAGCUUCAUGUAAUCUCUUUCAUAGCUGUUAUCAUAACUGUAUAUAUUUCCAGCCCAAUUCGUCUAUCUUUUCCGGCCUCCUGUCUUUGCAGCUGCCUCCUCUUCUCUCCUUCCUGAUGGCUGCAAAUCUCUGCUUAUCACCCGUUUUCAUGCUGUGUUUUGUCUGUCUCUUUGUGUUCAUCCCUGUAUCGGCUUCUUGGCUGCAUGUGGCAGUUUCUUAUUUCCUGGACCUUGUGAGAGUCUUCAGUCCGAGCUGUUUGCUUCAGUUAGCAUGUGCAACCUCUCGUAUUAUUUUGCUUUUAUGGGUGAUUUAAUUUUACACAUGUUUACACCGAGGAGUAGUUUUGCAAACUAAAUUUGUCAGUACAGAUGUGCAAUUGCUAUGUGAGGCAGUAAGAAUUAAGACAAUUAUUUAUUUAUCAAAUUUCUUUUUGUAUGAAUGUAUCCAUCCACCACAUGAAUUUUUCAUGCAAGCUCAUCUUGAAAAAACCAUUCCCUCCUCCCGGGAAGGAUUUGAACUCUUUGGGGAAUUCCCCCAAAUUCUUGUUGUUUUUUUUUCUUUAAUUGAACUCCGCCAUGUAAGGAGAGCUCCGUCUACAAUAUUGAUUGCGGAAAAACACGCAGACCUGUCAAUCUCUCUUUUCCCAAGGCAAAACUCUCUUAUUGUCCUUUUCUGCCAGGGUAUAAUCUCCCCAAAGACAGACUUCAAACAGUUAAGCUUCUUUCCAUUGUAUUGGGACUAUGUGUAGUGCUCCACUUUACAUUCACAUUUAACAGGUUUCAAGCUUCAGUGAUAAACCGGCAACGUUUCUCCUUCAUGACAGCUGUUUGACAGCAUUUGAAAAUGGAUAAAAAAUGGAAAAUUACCCUACUGAGGAAACAUCCCCUUCUCUUCGUAACUCAGGCUGGGACAUGGCAGGAAUGAAAUAACGCGCUUAUUACAUUCCGCACACCGAAUGCAAAAUGCAUUGCCACCCUCUAUUCCACUUGAUUUGAUAAUCUAGUACAAUUUAGGUCCCUUACAAAUUAAAUUGUUCGGAAACUUGGUUCGCUGCCUAAACUCUGUGCUAGAUUGUGCUACUUAAUGACGCUUUUCUUUCUUUUGGUGUUUUAUCUUUGGGGUAAAUAAUUCAGCCAAAUAAACCCUGUGAUCUGCAAGGUUAAUUGACACCCAUGUUAAUUCACAGCUUGUGUGCAGCACCCACAUUUGUCCGUUCUGCACAGAGUCCUGGAGCAUCACCUGAUCUCUGUUCUCCAUGGCUCACUGGAAAAGUUCUUACAUUGCCAGAAGCUCUGGUCGUUGAAAAUACCACUAUUGCUGCCGUGUGGGCAAGGUCUGAGCUCCACAUGCUUGUUUGCUUUCCCUCAAGUAGUUACUCAACUGAUUGCUGGGAAAAUCUUAGGAUGAAUGCACCUAGAUCUAUUUCUUUUAUUGGAAAUCUAUUUCUAUUAUUGGAAAAAAGAAGAAUGGAAAAAAUGCUGUAAAAAUAUACAAGCGCAUUAUUUGGGGGUUAUAUUCACAGGUGACACGUCUGGAUGAAUGUAUUCUUAUUUGUUAUUAAAUCGUUGAGGUGGUCUCCCUCCCCACACCUGACGUUUAUUGGAAAAAAGAAAAAGUAAUUGAAAAGGAUUUGGCCAGUUCCCCGCCUUGUGUUCGAGUGUUAUAUAACAGAUACCUCCACCAGCCCGCUCGCUCUGUCUCUCUCUGCUUUUGGGCUAGCACACAGUUUAUUGGCUAUCAAUAAAACAUAAGAAUUACUCCUGGUAUAACAAUAGCACCUCCCUGCAACCUUCAGCCUGCUUAGCUCCCAGGAACAGCGUGCUAAUGAGAGUGUGCUGCCUUUUGGGCAGAUGCUAGGAUGUUGUGCUGGGCUGAUAGCUGCGUCUCCUGGAUCAAACACUGCGCUGGGAUGACUCAUGCAUUUUACUAAUUUAUAAGAACAGUCUUCCUUGAAAUCCCCAUGUAAAUAUUAUCGCCCUGUUCUCUGUGAGUGACUGCAGCCUUGAAGUCAACAGAAGUAAUGGGCACUCCGCAUGGAAUAACGAGUCACAGGCAUAUAUUCCUUUUCAUCCUCCAGGUGGAAUAGCUGAAUUAUGGGUUGUUUUCUCUGUUCUAAAGUUGUAUUUUUCCCAAGUACUGUCGGAAUGCGAGGGCCACGUAGCACAGAGUGAGCUGCAGGAUGUCACCAAAAGGGCCGAAUCUUGCUGCCGUGAAGUGAGGCCCGAGCUGUACCACAGACCUGGCAGCUUGAUGAAUGCAAACUUAAAAUUAGGGCUCACUUAUGGCAAUCAUUACAGUGUCCUUUGCAAGACGGCCACUGAACAGGACAGAUGUCACAUUCACAGCCCCCUGGAAACAAGGCUUUUGAAAGCCAGACGGGCCUCAGUGCCUUUCCUUUUCCACUUUGAUUGAAUAGAUGUUUGCAUCUAAGUGUUUCAGAUUUCCUGAUUAGUACUGGUGUUUCAUGUCCCUGGAUUGGUCUGUGCAAAUAAGGAUGCUCAGGCACUGGCGUGCUUAGAUGCAGAACAUCGGAUACCCCAUUAUAAUUCCUGGAGGUAGUGGGUAAACCCAAGAAUGAAGACAUGGUUCAUGUCAUUCCUCACUGAAAUAGUGUGCUUUAGUUGAGCACAAGACCAGUUUUCUGAACUGCAAAGCCUCUUCCAUGGUCUGUUUCGUUGCCACCUCUUCCUGUGGACUGAUAAGCAGGGCUGUGCCCAGCAUGAUGUCCUCACACAGCCCUGGAGUCCUCCAGGAUGGGAUAGGAAAACUCACUGUCACAUCUCUCUCCACUGGCUCUAAAGGGAGCACAGAUCUUUAGGUAAAAGGGAGAAUAGAUCUUUAGGUAGCUAAAAAUAAAUGAGAAGAUCCCAUACAAAGUAUUACUCUCCCCUAACUGGAACUGAGCCUGUUUUUUGUGAGAAAUGAAAAGUGCUGAGGGGCAGCUGAGAUGUAAGAUCUGGAAGUUUCAUGUCUCAUUACUGUCAUUCAUAUCUCAAACUGUGACAAAUCUGUAUGUGCUGCCAGUAGUAUUCCAAGAUAAACAGAAAUAUUUUCUCCCCCAGGCCUAUUAAGUAAGACAUUCCAUGCAGCUUCUCUUCCCUCGGACACAACCAGGAUCUCUCUGGACUCAGACUAGAUACCAAGGAGGCCACACAGCCUUUGCUCAGUGCUUUCUAUAUGCAACUUAGAGUUCAGCUUCAUUUUAACCCCCCUUUUUUUUUUUUUUAAACCAUAUUCUGAGCUGACACAAGUCUGGCACCAACUCCACGUUGCUCAAGGACUGAAGUAGGUCAGGUAGGACUGACCUAAGGCAAAGGGGAAGAAGAACAAAACUUGGGCCCAAAGCAUCCUUAGGUCUUCUGAUACUCCACCUCUCCUGCAUUUGCUCAUCUUUAGAGACCUGCCCAUGUGCUGGAGGGCAUUAUUCUCGGAACUGACCUGUCCUGAGGAGGUAACUGUCCCAGGAUGGGCUCUGCGGUUUGAGGCAGAAUCCUUCAUAUCCUGACAAUGUCUCUAGGCUGAAUAACCCCCUUCUGUGCAUUGCUGUUCAGCUAUACAGAUGAAGCUGGUUGCAGCUUGUUGACAAAUAAAGUAGUUUCUGGCUACGUAGAGAAAGUACAUGAAAUCUGCAGGAGAAAUAGAAGCAUUUCCCUGAAUAAAAAGUCCAUUCAAUUUAAAGUUAUUGUGAUCAAAACUGCAUUCAGAUAAUUACUGUCAUUUAAAGGUGUUUCUUUUUCAGGGGGUAGUAUGAGUAUGUCUUUUGGAAAUGUUACUAAAGCUUUCACUUUGGGAAAACCUUUCUGCCAUACAUGACUGUGAGCUGCUCUCUUGUAAUUACAGCCCAUCUACUUGCUCUCUCCAAAUAUCUCUAAUAAAGAGACAACAGACAGUGGUGCAUAUUGUUAUUUGCACAUCUGACCCAUGUGUGUGUCAAAGCUGUAAUGACUUCCAAAAAUCAGUGUAUUAUUCCCUUGUAAAAUGCAUUUGCCUGUCAUGAGGACUGUUCAAGAUUUCAAAUCCACCAGAGGUCUUGUAAUUCCUGCUGACACUGAAUGGGAUUCAGAUGUCCAAAUGCAUACUGAAAAACCUGACCUACAGAUGUAAAAAAAUGGUCUGUUUUUUUGGAAGUGCUGUUCACACACAAUCCAUCCUGAAGCUAGUAUGGUCUUGAGAAUGCUCAGCUUCCCCGGAAAUCAGGCUUUGGUACACGCAGACAAGCAAACACCCUUAAUAAUAGUGUAUUUCUUCCCAAAGUGCUUCUGAAAGAGCCUCUUAAAAACAUGAGAAUAGCAAAGGUUUUGGGUUUGUGGUUUUUUUUUUUUUUUUUCAAAAUUCAUAGCAAGUUUUUUAGAACCUGUAACAAGUGUGCAAACCAUCAGUUAAAAACACAACAGAAAUCAGCUGUUAUCUGUGUUCUGGGCAUUCAAACUCCUACUUUCUGUGUAGACAAGCUAGUGGGACUCUAGUGUAGUGUCUCUAUAGCGGUCAGGAGCUGGAGCAUACGAUGUUCAAGGAUAGGCUGGUAGAGCAGGUUUUCUUAUCUUAGAAAAGAGGAAAGAUGAGAGAGGCCUACUACACUGGAGGAAAUGACAACUGAGUUAAAGGAACCAUCUUCUCAAUGAGUAUGUUGAAGCAUUGAAGCAAGCUUUCCAGAGAAGCUCUCAAAUCACAACCCUUGGAAAUACUUCUAAAAUUUUGGUUAAAAAAAAUGUGACUCAGCUACACAAGGCCCUGAGCAGCCUGCUCUAACUUUGCAGUUGCCCCUUCAGGGCUUUGCACCAGAUGACAUUCAGAGGCGCCUUCCAGCCUAAAUUCAACAAAUGGCCUGGUGAAUGGGAACUGUUGAAUCACGGCCUGAACCUCUGAUUGACCACCUGAGAUGAGCGUUGAGUCAGCCGUAGGGGCACAGGUGAACGCAAUUUCACCUGAGUGACCAGCAGGGGUGUAGUCUGGCUCCACCUCUCCCUGACCCCAUUUAAGGGCUGACGCUCAAGGAGGAAGGAUCUCUAUCUGGAGAUCACCUCUCUUGGAGCCCUUCUGUGAGCCCAGGACAUGGGUAAGCUCUUUAUUACUCCUUUAUAAAUGUGAUAAUCUCUCUGGUCCUCUACCUAUUUACCUUACAAUCUGUAUGCCUGUUUGCCAUACAGCCUCAAUGUACUUGGCUAAUUGCCCCUUUGCUAAGAGAAAAGUGUGUUUCCAAGAAAUCCUCGAAUGCAAAUCAAAGAGCCAAAGGCCACUGGACAAGCUCAGGAAGGGGUGUAUCAGCUGUGGGAGGCAGCACAGGCCACAGAGCAGGGUACCUGUGGGAGAAGUGAUAAAAGUGGUUAAAUGAGAGCAUUUACUGUUACAGAGGGGAAGGUGAUGCAGGAAGGAAGCAAGGCUGAUAUGCUGUAUGCUUAUGCUGUGAUAUAUGUAUUGCUGGGGGCUUGCUUCACAAAGAAAUCCUUUCCUAGAGAAAACAAUGAGGCUUUUAUGUUUUGAAUGGCCAAAGCCUUGAUGCUGUUCCAAAGCAUGAGAGCAGCAUCCUUCCUCAGAAAGACAUCAGCAGUCCCAAGUGGCUAUUUCUGCUUUUGUAGAGAGAGAGAGAGAAAGUGGUAAGUGAGAGGAAGAGAAAAUGAAGUGUCCCUGACAAGAAAACAAUGUGCCAGGAGCAACUCCUCUAGAUACAGAAAAGCGAAAGGACAGAACUCCAUUCGUUCUCCAGCUCUUCUCUGUUUUGUCUGUCUAACAUUUUCCCUUCAAUUUAUUUCCUUUUCCUCUUGAAAUCUUGUGCUUUAUAGUGAGAAAUCAUGGAACUUCAGAGGUUAGAGAUGCAAGAAGCCUAUUAGAUCAUCUGCUCCACUGCUUUUUGCCAGAGGAGAAUUGCUCCCUAUGGUAUAUUUUCUAGUGUUUUGUCCAGCCUUCUUGUAAAAACCCUGAGUGACCAGGCUUCCACCAGUCCCCUGGCAGCCUUUCUCCAGCUGAAUACAUCUUGAGAGAUUUUCCUACUAGUCAGCCUGUGGCUUCAUGUUGCUAAUUUCACCCCACUUGGCACUUCUGUGUCUAUGUAAUAGUCUAAAUUGUUUCCUCCCCCUUGGCACUUCUGUCUUCUGAGCCUGCUAUCUGCUUAGCAUGGAGUGUAGUGUGGAGUCACAGAAAAAAACAGGACUGAAAGGACUUCUGCUGUUAGUACAAGCAGAGCUUUUAAAUCUGAUUUUUAAGACAGUUAAGACAGUUUCUUGAUAAUGUUUGUUUCCCCACUGUCUUUGUUCCAAUUUGUCCAUACACAGCAACACCCCCUGAAUGAAUUAUUCCAGAUACAUUUGCAUUAAAAUGAUGUAGAAAAUAGGCUUUGAUACAAGUAUCAAGGGAACCACACCUUAAAAUUUCAUCAGCAUUUUUGCAGCCAAACUGUAAUAUGCACUUAUGUUCAUUUGACCAGCCGCUCAUCGCAAAGUAUUUUAGUAUUCCUGCCAGCAGUUUGCUAUUGACUACAAGUGUUUAGGAGGAUUUUGCCUCGGGUAUGUUAUCAUGCUUACAAGUGGGAACUUGUCUUGUUGUUUUCUCUAGCAAUGUACCCAGUCUCCACACAUCAUCUUAUUUCUACAUCCCGACUUGCUCUACAGUUCCUCCCGUGCCAUAGCCAUCUGUGAAAGCCCAUUGUGUGCAGCUCACAUUCCCUACAGAUUAUUAAUAAGGACACUAAAUCACACCCUUUCUGACACUGUCACCACUUAUUUUUACUAGGUGAUUCUGUUGUGUUGCCUAAUGCCUUCUCCCUCCGUUAUCCAUCUCUUGUGUUCCCAUUCAGAUUUCCUUUUUCUCCUGGGAUGGUGUGCUGCCCUUUGUACCUCUUUUCUGUUCUAACCACUUUGGUUUUGAUUUAAUUUUUUUUUUAGGACCUUCAUGUUUUCUUGGCUUAUUUACAGCUGUACUUUAGGAAGACAGGAUUGGAAGCAAUCUUCUGGAUCAAUGAAUCCAGAUCCCUAUUAUUUCAAACAGCUGUGCCAUGAAAUCUCUUUAAAAUAUUAAUUGAGCUCCGGUUUGAUGAAACUGUAAAACCAAUUCAGAUUCCUGCUACUGAUUUUUCUGCAAGAAGGCUGCACUGGAGCUGUCCUGUUUGGAUGGUUAAAAUCAUUCUUCAGGUUUCCAGAAUUUGCUCAUUGCCCGUUUUUACCACUUGUCCAUGUGCCAAGGUAGUCCUUGAGCUUCGUUAGCACUUCUUCCUCUCUGUUGAUUCCCCUUUUCCUCUCUUAGCAUAUUUAUGGAUGGCAAUCAGACUCCCUCUCAGCAUUUGCUUUCUGAGACUGCACGUGCCAACCUCUCCCAUAAACUGGCUGAUACAGAACAGUGUAAGAACAGGUAAAUUAGCUUUCAGCAAGCUGUCCCAGGCACAGGGUGUUGCAUGAGCUGCUUCCUUGCAGGAUAAUCUUUUCAGGAAAACACCAUAUUUUCAUAGCUUAAGUUGAGUUUAUGGUUCACUGCAGCAUAAGAAUAACUUCUCUCCAUCUUUGCUUGCGUAUUUGUUUCCAUUCCUUGGAUCAUACCAGCAGCCCUUCCUUUGCCUGCUCCAGUUUUAAGCCUCCUUCUGGAAGGUGAAUGAUUAUAGUAGUAGGCAAAAGUUCAGAUGAAGUCUCCAUACUGAGUUUGUAGCCUGAAAUUAAUGCUUUCAUGUAUUAAAUAGAAAUAGCUCUAUAGUUGGCGUAUUUUUCCUGUGGUAAGGUCAGAGCUGUGGUUAGAUAAGUUCACCCAGCUCUUCAUUAUCUGUCUUUUCCAAUUAGCCAAUGUAAACUCACAGUUGCUGUUGCUUUUUUGUUUGUUUCUUUGUUUUGAAGCAUAAACUUAAAUUUUGCGCUAUUGUGCUCCUUGCUGUUUCACUUCACCCAGCCUAUGAGUUAACACAGUCCUUCAGUCAGCCCAUUCCUUUGGAAGGUUGUUCUGGUCCUGGUCCCCAGGGAUGAGGUGGGUGAUGCCUCCCACUUUCUAGCAUUCCCUCCUGUUGCUCUGGACUUGCUGAAUUUCCUGUUUCUCCAGCUCCUGUACAAGAACAUCUCAAAUUCAAGAAGCUUCUUUUACUGUGGUUCCCAACUUACUUUGUAGCUGUGACAGUCUUGGGCCCUCUUAUUAAAGGAAAACUUUUUAGUUUUGUGCAUAUUCGUAUGGAAUUCUCAUUAUUUUUUACAUCCUAUAGCUUCUGCUAGCUCUGCCUAUUCAGCUGUCAUGGCUGGUAGGAUAAUUUGACAAUGUAACUUCCCUAUAACACCCAUAAGGAAAUAAAGGCUCAAACAGUGUUAUGAGCCUAUUGCAGUAUAGCACAGUCUCCAAUCUCUUAUACAAUCCUUAAAAAAAGGUCAUUUGGUUAUUUGAUAAGACCAGACUUCUUGGAUUCCUACCUUUUAAUGGUUUUAAAAAGGUAAGUCUGUACCAAAAAAAAACCCAUUUUUACAGUAACACAAAACUUUAUUUACAAGAAGGUCCUGGUUUCCCUUAAAAGUACGUAGUUGAUCUAGUUCUAUUACUUAUUUGAUAAACCUGUUUUUGCAACAAGAAAAAUAUUAAUAUUGAUAAAUUGUUCAUAGCUUACAUUUCUUUUAAUACCCAUCCAUGAGUGCUGGACAGGAAAACAUUAUUGAUACCACUUUCUAUUACAGAAUUGUGUUGAUUUUGCCAUAUUUCAGUCUGAACAGCAAGAGUAGCUCUCAUAUCAGCCUAUCAUCUUGUUUUCACGUUCUGGGAAUUAAACACUAUUUUUUUCUUGUUCUGAAAGCAUUGCCUUCCUUUGAAUUGUUUAAUUUAGCAUUCCAUUUCAUAUUGUGAUAACGUUGCUGUGAAAUAAAAUCAAAACAGCCUCAUCGUUGAAAUGUAUUUUGAUCAACCUGAAAUGAAUCUUCAAAAAGUUUUCUAGGAGAAUUUUGAAGCACAAGUGUUUCGUACUUAACUGCAGUGAAAACUGACAUCAAGACCUUGAAAAUUUACAUUAAACAGAAUUUCUAUUCUCUGCGCAGCUUCAUUCUCGAUGCAAAAUGCUCAACAAUUCAGCACAACCCACCACAUCUAGUUCUUGCGUGGUUUCGCAAUCGAGACUUGAAGAACUAGAAAAUAACAGGAAGGUUUUUCUGCCUGCCUAAGCAGAUGUAGUUUUCUGCCCCAGGAUUGGUAUAGGUUAUGCAGCCACACGCACCACCCUGUGAGGGUGGUUUUCUGCAGAGCCAAGAUGUUUCUUUUUCCAAGAUGAGCUGUCAACAUGUUUAUCUGUAAUAGCCUCAAUAACAAGCACAGAAAGAGGAAUGAGUAAAACUGGUCUGAUGUCAGGAAUACGUGUUGUACAGCCUAAUUCCAGGCUACGAUUCAAACUCUCUUUUCUUUUACAGGAAGGUUGCCUUUGGCUUCAUUUCCACCUAUAGCUCAUCAAUUGAUGUAUCAGCUUCUAGAAAUCAAAUUUUUUUUUAUUCCCAGCCCCCAAGUGUUUCCAUGGAGGUGACUAUUUGCUGAAGGCCUUGAUGAUAGAAAGAAAUCUAAAGUGUGACUGAUGCAAGAGGUCACUCAGAGGGUUUUCAUAUGUUGUUCUGGCACACAGCAAAACUAGGAUGGUUUCAGUAAAGAAAUAUAUAUAAUGGAACUUAAGUAGUCAAUUUGAGUUCCCACUCGUUCUUUGCCUGCAAAGCAAGAGAGGGAGAUUAGGUACGUACAAACACAAUGCUUUCUUUUAAACAAAAGCCAUGAGGAAAAGCUUUUCAAAUACCUUUAUUCCCUGUUCUUUUGUAUUUUACUCUUUUCCUUUCUCUUAUGUACCCUCUUGUGUCAUAAAAAGAGGAUUCUGUUCCCUUUAUAAUUUGUUGUUCUAUUUCACAUUGAUUUGAAGUUACAGUGGACUAACUUGAUCAUCCUAGUUCAACAGUACCAUCUUUAAACAUUAAAACCCCAGUAUUUGUGUUACUAGGAUCUUCUUAUGGCAGAACAGAGUCUUCUCUCUCUGUGUGGGGUGCCACCCUCACCAACCAGCAGGUGCCCACCACAACAGCCAUGAGCUGGAGGCAUCAUGCUGCCUCCCCAUUAACCUCCCAGGAAGACAGUGCCCACUGCUGUGCUCAAGGGCAAACCAAGGCAAUCCUCCUCGCCUUGCUGUUUUCCGUUCUGCCCUUUUUGCUGCUUUGUAUUGCAGCUAAGAGAAGCUUGUCGGGUUUGUUCCCAUUUUGCCCAGUCUGUUGGACUCUGUACUCUGGCUCUUAGACCUACCCUGCUUCUUAAAACAUUAUUUUCCUCUUGAUAACUAAGGAAAAAGAUCAUGGAAAGGAAUUGGCUGAAAUCUGAGCUUUGUCUUUCCCCAUCCUCCCUGCUGGAUAGAUAUCCCUCCUGGACAGAGCCAAGCUUUGAGUAAUGGGGACCAUAGUUCAGACAAUUUGUAAAUGCCUUGCGGUGACAAGUUUGACUUAUAUCUCAAGUUUCUUUGGUUCUUCUACCCUCCUGGCUGCAGUGUGCCUGCAGAACAGCCCUGCUUCCCACACCUUCUUGCAGCCCCAGAGGGAACCCCCAUGGACUGGGCUGUGCAGCUGCCCGCAGCGCUGGAAUAUCGUCUGAUGUUUGCCUGACUCAGGUCACUGCACAAAGACAUGCCAGCCUGCCAGGCUCAUUUGUUAUUUUGGAAAUGACCCGCCACGGUUCCUGCACUGCUAAUUGGCCAUGAUCCAUUUCCUGUUUUAUGAAUUCAUCUCCUGGUCCUGCUGCCUGGUCCAAGGGGUGCCAAGUACAUCAGUAAGUGUACAGCGCUUUGAACUCAGAAUUAAUGUGUAGUGUAUUAGACAGAGAUUUUGAUUAGAUUAGGGAUUGAGAUCUGUUUGUGAUAAUCUCUGCAAUCCUUCUCACCAAAUGAUCUUACUGCCUACAGAAACUGCAUCUCUGGAGUGAAAGGAAGGAAGAAAAUAAGACUGAAGGCAAUAGAGUUACACUGAAGAUGGCUUUGGCCCAAGGGUUUAUGCAAAACAGAUUUGUGAUGUUGCAAAUUUGUAUUUUUCCUUUCUGUUUCAAAAUGGGAAAGAGCAGAAACAGUUGAUACUGUCAUGAAAUUUCAAGACUGAAACACAAAGUAUUGGAAACUUGAGUGUCCUUAAUAGUGCUAAUCCAAGCCUGCUGGACCUGUGGACCAUUUUUGCAAUCAAAUGCUUAAGAAAUGCAGUGCAGUGAACUGAAUACUAUAAUUCUAACAGGAAAUUUCUCACUAAAAUCAGUGAGAAUUUUGUCUAUGUGAGGCUUACAAGAUUGGUUAGUACUUGAAGAACAACUUUUCUUCUUCCAUAAAGAUCCUCGCUGAUGGGUUCCUAUACUUCACCAGCUUCUCUUCUUUUCCUCUGUCAGAUUACAACAGAGGAUGGCAUGCUCUGAGUGCAGCUCCAAUACGUGGCACGUGGCUGUAUCUUUUGUUCUUAAAUUACAUGACUCUUGAGACAAGAAAACCUGCCAGAAAUCAGCCUUUGGAUGAGGAAGGCCAGGUCCCAGCUGAACCAAGCAGCACAAGUAGGAACUAUACCAAAGAAGUGGGCUCACCCAGAGCAUUCAUUGAAGUGGUGCAGAGCAUUGGGCACAUGCUGGAUCUUCCACAAAGCUUGGAGAGCUGGGCAGCCUCCAUUCCUAUCAACAUCUUCCUCACCUUUCCUCCUGUGAAGAGACAAGGAACCACCAACACAACUGCAGAACCCCAUGGACUCCCGUAUCUGCACAAGGAGGAGACUGUGUGACCCUGAUCUUGGCCAGCAUAGCACAAGGCUCCCCAGCAGUCACCUGCUUGAACCUAACACAUCACGGUCAGCUUCUAGUGAUAAUACAGCAUUCCUUAAUUUUGAAAGCAAUUAUGGGUCUGAGUUCAGGUUUUUUUUUCCCCAGAUUAAAGUCAAUAAAACACUCGGACAUCCGGAUUCCAAUCACAUGCAUAUUACUAACUGUGAUAUUUGUAUCGCUGAUCCAGAAGCCAAUCACAACACUAACUCACUCUAUUGCUAAAAUAAGGAUAGCUUCCUCAUAAGCCAAAAUAACAGCCUGUUAUCCCUUCCAAAGCCACCGUUUUUCUGGCCUCGCAGGAACAAAGGAACAGGAGGUAGGCAAUACUCUUAUGGGGAAAGUAAACUAUCCCUCGCACAAGAAGCUUUUAAACCUAAGCACAUGUACUUGACAUACUCAUUUUCUGAAACUCUAUAUUUUCAUGUAUCCCUCCUCUUAUGACAUACCUCUUACAGUAUGUUGGAAUCAGUCCUGUCUUAUCAUCAUUGCCAUGGUUACCUUAUCAUCAUUACAGUAUAUAUGUGUUGCUAUAAUACUACUGUGGAUGUCAUAUCAAAAUUCCCUAAAGCAAAAUGAUCCCAGAACUUACUCUGUACACAUCUCAGGUUGCUAAGCAUUGAUAGCUUUAUUAUAUGUUUCCCAGCUAAAACAAAGUUAGCUUGUAUGCCUCUGCUGACAUACAGCUCUUUGUCCUUUCUGGUAGAAGGCAAAUUAUUCCAUGUAUCAUCUUCACUGUAAGCUACUUCCUUACAUCAAAUAAAAAUUCCACUCUUGACUGGAUAUCUCAGCAACCUGAUUUUCCUUUACUUAUAUUACUGUAUUACUAAAAUUCACAAGAAUGUUGAUACUGGAGGCAAGGAGCAUGUUAGUCAGUCAAGUUAAGCACUGUGAUAUUGCAGAUACAGAGGUCAUGAUACGAAGAUGUGGCACAGCUCAAAACCCAGGGCAGAGUAUAUACGGGCUUGGGAUAAAGAAAACCCUUUGCUAGGGUUGUGUGGCUGUGGGAUGAUCUUUCAGUGUAGAGUGGAGGAGCACAGAUGUUAACAUCUGGUUUUAAUCCAAAAUCUGUAUUACCCUCCAAUGUGCGCUGGGGACUAUGAAUGCAAAACUCUUAACAUAAGCAGAAUUCCUUAUGUGUAAUAAGGAUUUUGGUAAUGCGUUUGGCUCUAUGUGGAGGAUGCACAAGCCUUGUAUGUCACAGACUAGAUCUUGCCACAUGCUUCCACUCCUCUCUGGAUAGACUCACUCAUAGGAUGGAUUGCCCCUGCUUUUUUCAUGGCACUUUCCCACUGACGAGGUGUCUGGGGAAGCUGGGUACAGAUAUAACUUAAAUAUCUUUUACCUUCGGUGACUGAAUGCUCAUUCUUCUGAAAGACAAAAGCAAAGCCUUGACUGGAGAAGAGAAUGUGUACACACGUAAUUGUGCAUCUGUCUAUGUAACCAUGUUUUAUGUAUGGAAUCGCAAGAAAACAUGUCUAACUCAAAUGAUGAUUGAACUGAUACUCAACUAAGUUCUAACUACCAGAUUUUCCAUCGUGUUCAUCCUUAUAACAGCUCCUUACUACAUUCUCAAGCAGAGGCUUUGAAUAUGAGGCUAAGAGUACAGUGGAGUGAAGAAAGUGAUUCAUUACUGGGAAUAAAAAACCCAGUCUUCAUGGAUGAUACAUUGCCUAUAUACAUGAUUACAGGUUUAGAAACAAGAGGUUACCUACUGUUCCACGGCUGUAAUCAAAUAUUACCAGACUGAAGAAAAGCAAAUACACUCAAGAUUUUCAGGAGAAUUCUCAUGAUUAAGAAGAGUAAAAUCUUAAAUAAACAGAGGUAAAUAACAGAACAUUUGUGAUAGAGGAUAUGAUGGUAAUUGCAGCUGGGAAACUUUUCUUCUUUUCUUCUUAAGCUAAAGAUGACUGGGAAUUUUUUUUGGUAACUACAGGAGCAGUUAACUGGCCAUUUUUUAUGAGGAAAUGGAAACAAGGAUUCAAGGCCAUCGUGAAGACUAUGUAAGGUAAAACCUCUCCUCGUGUUCAAAUCAUAUGAUACUACCCAGAACUGAGAGGUAUCCUGUCAUCCCACUAUGCCUGCAUUCAUGGGGCGUGGAAAAAAGAGAUGAUUAUGUGGCAAAAUUGUCGUAGCACUAUAUGGGCUCUCUGGGGCAAGCUGGGGCAGCAGUGGGGGUGAGUGUGACAGGGCAGAUUUCCCCAUCAGCAGCAACUCUCCAUUCAUAAAAGCCCGAGUUUCUCAGGUGACACCUAUUUUCCUUUCUUUAGCCGUAGCAGACAGAUGUGCAGAUUGUGUGCUUAUGCCAAACAGUAUUCAAGGGUCCAUGCUGUCUGGAAAACUGCAUUCACACUGAAGCCAUAUUGUUCCCUCCCUGAAUUACAAGCUGGAUUCCCCAGCUGGUGAGCUGCUUUGCUGCAGGCUUGCGUAGGCCUGUGAGCCAACUUGGAUAAUAGCAGAGCUAUAACCAGGACUGUGAUCUCAGACCCUGACCCAGCGUGAAUUCUAAGCAUCGUUCCUCUUUCCUUAGUGUUAUACACUCAAUCUGCUGCUGCUUGGCAGGCUCUUAAAUCACAGUUCUCACACCCGAAUAGGCCAACUUCUGGCAGCCACUGCUGCACAAAUGGUAGCAUUGGAGAAGAAAAUCCUUACUACCUGAGUGUUUGAAGGCCUGAUGUGGAAAUAUCUGGAAGAACUGAACUUCUCCAUGAGCACUACUGAUUUCAUUAUUAUUUUUUAAUUCAUAUUUGUUGAAAACUAAUUCAGCCAGGGCAUUGGUGGCCUUUUUUGGUUGGUUGGUUGGUUGGUUUGGUUUGGUUUUUUGUUGUUUUGUUUUGUUUUAUUUGUUUUUUGCCACAAGCGUGCAUUGCUGGCUCCUUGUCAGUGUGGUGUGCACCAGAACCCUCAUGUCCUUCUAAGCAGAAUUACCUUCCAGUUAGUUGGAGCACAGCAUGUAGUGGCUCCCGGGGAUGUCCCUGCCCCAGGCCAGGACUUUGGUUUUCCCCUUGUUCCAGACGUUCUUCUCACCCCAUUUCUACACCCUGGGGAGGUUCUUCUGGAUGGCAGUACAGCCCUCUUCUCUAUGAGUACUGAGCACAUCAUUCAGCUGGUUUUCAAUCCACUUCUUCAACUUGAUGUAGUUUGUAAUUCCUGUUGGUAGCCACGUGACAGAGUCUGUGCUGCUCGCUGUUGUUGUGCAAGUCUCCACCCUUUUCCAACCAGGUCCAGACAGAGUGAGUUAGAUUGGUGAGUAACAUGCAGUCUGUCCUGGCUUCCUGGAAAAUAAGGUUUGUAACCUGAAUUAAAGAGCUCUGGUGAAUCGCACAACAUAGUAACUGAGUUAAAUGCAAAUUACAUCAACAUUUACGAAGUUUCAAAAAUGCAAGUGCUCUUAUAAAUGAACAGGAAUAGAAGUAAACUCAUUUUCCAGGUGUGCUAUUGGGCUUCAUCUGCAUCCUACUGUUUUGUACUAUCUGUGUAACAGGAUACAUAGGUUUACCCAGCUCUCAGUGGCACAAAGACAGGAAAGAGAGGCAGGUUCCCCAGUGGGAUUGGAGCCAGAUCCAGCCAUGAAAGUCCCUGCAGGAUGGGCUGUCAAAUAGAUGUAGAGAUCUUACACAACCAACCCAUUCCCAAUACAGAGAAAAUGGUUUCCGCAUUAUUCCUGAAAGUUACUUAAGAGGGCUCAGUUUUUUACUCUGUAACGUGCUCUGGAAUACCUUGGUGUGAUAUAUUUGAGCUCAUUUGUUAAAAUAAAGUACUUCAAAUACCGUAAAAUACUAAAUGCUUAGGCUGAGUCUCAUCUCUGUUCUUCCAUUCUAUAGUAUCAGGAACAUGGCUGCAGGAAAUCAGAAUGGCAAUGUGCAGCGCCAGCAUCAACAAGAAGCAGAAAUAUCUACAUGUCAAAAAUUAUGGACGUUUCUGAAGAAGUCACUGAGCUAAAGACUUCUAAAGAAGUCACAUCCUGUCAUGCCAGAUGUGUCAAACCUUCAUGUUUCAGCGCUGAUCAAUUUACUGUCUUCUCAUGACGUUGUCUUCAUUAUUUUAGCAUGAGUUUUACAUAUCAGCAUAUAAAUUAUCAUUGUAUAUCUUUGGAGACAAAGAGAAACGCAUUUUUUGACGAUAGGAUUUUAAAUAUCUUGAAUGUAUUUCCAUACUGAAUCAGGAAAGUGUUCCUCAUAUCUAACUCUGGUUUUUCAUUGGCUUUUAGAUACUGUGUGCAUACAUUAUGUCAUAUUUAUAGUAGUAUAUGUCUGUACAUAAACUUACACAUACGCAGAAAAAAAAAAUCAAAUCGAGAUGUCAUUUAUACUCUCAAUGACCAAGCUGGGGAACAAAAUUUUGCCUCAUCACACAUCUUUCUACUUCAGUGAAUUAUUUUUAUUGAUGUCACAAGUCUUAAUUUUAAAUCCAGUUUUGAUGAAAAAAGUAGCUGAUCAUCUGCCCUGUUAUUAUACAAAAUACAUUUAUAUCGAGUGGUAGGAAAUAUAAUUUGUAGAAUGAUUAAUUACAUAAUGAUUAUAGUGGAGAAAUAUAUUCUCUAACAAAAUUUGUUAAAUGGAGGAAUUUAAUAUGAAAUAGUAGAUUUCCAAAUUUAUACAAAUAACACCAGAUGGUGAGUAGCUAGUUUUAAUUAAAUUAAGUUUGAUAAUUAUAGCUGAUUAAUUUUUAGGUUUGACUCAGAUUAGAAAGAAUGCACUAUUUUCCUGUAGAUUUAUUUUUAGCUCCCUUGCAAGGCUGUGAAUAUCAGUGUGUGCUGAGGUCCGGCCAGGUCCCACAGCUGCCAGCUCGCAGCAUCUCUGUGGGACCCAGCGGUGCUCCUGCAGCUGGGAGGAUGCUCGGGCCAGGACUACCUGAUGGAAGUCAGAAGUAGUUUUGCCAAUGGAAGAAGGAGGAAGUUUCUGCCGCAGGACCAAAAUAUGUUUUCACAACCCAAUCUACUGACUCAGCUGCUUUGAACAAAGAGAAAAGCUCAACGUGACCUCUUUGCAUAUGCACACAAUUGCACAUGCUGCAGCUUGUGUCCUGGGACAUCUUCUCAGGGAGGAACAUGUAAGGGCUGAAGCCUGGAAGCAAAGAGUCCCAGAGCUUGUCCCCCACUCUAGCACACUCGGUCUCAUCACUGCUUUCCAUAAGACCGUCUGAUCUGGUCCCACAGUUGAUCUGACCAGGUCCCAGUGGUUCCACUGAACCACAGAAAUAUGCUUAAAGCCACGAAUGUGUACAAGCUCUUUUCAGACUGUGGAAAGAGACCAAAUCUUACUCUGCAGGACCUAGAACCUGAUGCUCUGUGCUCACCGCUCUGUGGGAAUCACCUCCCACCUUUGGAUCAAGUGAAGUGUAAUGUGGACAAAUCAGAAUGCACACAGGCCUUUCUAACUGAUACAGGCUUUGCAGUUUCAGCUACAAGACCAAGUGAACAUUUUCAUCAUUUUUUUGGGCUACAUCUGCAAAAUGGGUGCUGGCUUCAGAGAUGUCUGGGAAGGAUCAGUUUCUCCCUAGCAGCAAGAGGCUGAAUGUAAUGUUUGUCUGAGAGUAACUGUGAGACAUUUUCUGAUGAUCAGGGAAGGACUCAUUCAGCAUGCUUGAGCUUGUGGUGUGCUUCUCAACUGCUUGGGCUGUUAACCUGUCUCCUGGUGCCUGUACACCAUAAAAAGAAGUAGGGACUGAAAAGAUUUGAUUCAUUGUCUCAUCACAGCACAAAAGUACACUGAAUAUUGUAAUUAUAAUUAAAUAUUGUAAUUAUAAUUGAACAUUACAAUUUAAAAAUUGAAUAUUGAAUUAAACAGAGUUUUAAGUAGAUGCCUACAACUGCUCUAAGCUAUCAGGUGCUUCUGACUUCCAGCAAAUAACACGUUAGGCUACAGGAAGCCAGUCUGAGAGCAUACUCUCCAUUCUGGAUGAUAUGAAACUUAAAAGAUGCCUUAAAUAAUUUCUCACUGCAGAGCUUUCUCAGAGCCAGCACUUGGACUGGCACUCAGGCAAGGUGGUGCUGUCCUGCCUCCUCCCUCUCAAGUCCCUUCUCUUUUAUCUCAGUUUUCUCUCUGCAGGGUUCUUCUUCCAUUAUCUGCCUAGUGCAAAUCCAGUCUCCUCCUCUGCUUUCUUUUUUGUGUGCGUGUGCUGAAAAGUGGCCUCCCUGAAUUUGUGUUAUAUUGAUUAUGUAAAUCAGCGCUUCUCCUCUAGAUUGCUUUUUCUUUGUGAACUGGGAGUAUAAUUUGCAGUCUUCUACCUGAUAAUUGUGAGUAUAAUUUGAGCUGUCUCUUUGUGGAGUCAUCAGUGACUGUUUUAAUUUCCAUAUGUGAGCGGUGCUAUUUUUCUUUAACUUUUUUUUUCCUUAAUCCUGCCUCUUUCUGAACUAAUGGAUUGAUUCUGCUGCUCAUAAUAGCAUCACCUGAAGUGUAUUUUGGAAUUUCUGCUGCUGCUGAGAUUGAAAUUUAUCUACAGUGUGACACAUUUCUCAACAUUUUCAGAAAAGACAUAAUCUUGUAACUAUCAACCUGACAAUAAAAUUGUCUAUCUGUAAUGGAAAAUGGAGGACUCAAAUAUGGUCAUUUUUUUUUCACUGUGAAACCGUUUCAAAAUAAGUAAAACAAUACCAUUUUGUUGU
ensembl:lncRNA